rnacentral:rRNA from 1 species
GGACCCGCACAAGCGGUGGAGCAUGUGGUUUAAUUCGACGCAACGCGAAGAACCUUACCAGGGCUUGACAUCCCUCGCUAUUCUGUGAAAGCAGGAGUUCUCUCUUUCGGGAGAGACGAGGAGACAGGUGGUGCAUGGUUGUCGUCAGCUCGUGUCGUGAGAUGUUGGGUUAAGUCCCGCAACGAGCGCAACCCCUACUUUUAGUUGCCAGCACGUAAUGGUGGGAACUCUAGAAGAACUGCCGGUGACAAACCGGAGGAAGGUGGGGAUGACGUCAAAUCAUCAUGCCCUUUAUGUCCUGGGCUACACACGUGCUACAAUGGCUGGUACAGAGGGUUGCCAAACCGCGAGGUGGAGCUAAUCCCAAAAGCCAGUCUCAGUUCGGAUUGUAGGCUGCAACCCGCCUACAUGAAGUCGGAAUCGCUAGUAAUCGCAAGUCAGCAUAUUG